CCUUUGGGGUGUGACUGCGUACCUUUUGUAUAAUGGGUCAGCGACUUAUAUUCUGUAGCAAGGUUAACCGUAUAGGGGAGCCGGAGGGAAACCGAGUCUUAACCGGGCGUUAAGUUGCAGGGUAUAGACCCGAAACCCGGUGAUCUAGCCAUGGGCAGGUUGAAGGUUGGGUAACACUAACUGGAGGACCGAACCGACUAAUGUUGAAAAAUUAGCGGAUGACCUGUGGCUGGGGGUGAAAGGCCAAUCAAACCGGGAGAUAGCUGGUUCUCCCCGAAAGCUAUUUAGGUAGCGCCUCGUGAAUUCAUCUCCGGGGGUAGAGCACUGUUUCGGCUAGGGGGCCAUCCCGGCUUACCAACCCGAUGCAAACUGCGAAUACCGGAGAAUGUUAUCACGGGAGACACACGGCGGGUGCUAACGUCCGUCGUGAAGAGGGAAACAACCCAGACCGCCAGCUAAGGUCCCAAAGUCAUGGUUAAGUGGGAAACGAUGUGGGAAGGCCCAGACAGCCAGGAUGUUGGCUUAGAAGCAGCCAUCAUUUAAAGAAAGCGUAAUAGCUCACUGGUCGAGUCGGCCUGCGCGGAAGAUGUAACGGGGCUAAACCAUGCACCGAAGCUGCGGCAGCGACGCUGAUGCGUUGUUGGGUAGGGGAGCGUUCUGUAAGCCUGCGAAGGUGGCCUGUGAGGGUUGCUGGAGGUAUCAGAAGUGCGAAUGCUGACAUAAGUAACGAUAAAGCGGGUGAAAAGCCCGCUCGCCGGAAGACCAAGGGUUCCUGUCCAACGUUAAUCGGGGCAGGGUGAGUCGACCCCUAAGGCGAGGCCGAAAGGCGUAGUCGAUGGGAAACGGGUUAAUAUUCCCGUACUUGGUGUUACUGCGAAGGGGGGACGGAGAAGGCUAUGUUGGCCGGGCGACGGUUGUCCCGGUUUAAGCGUGUAGGUGUGUGUUCCAGGUAAAUCCGGUUCACUUUAACACUGAGGCGUGAUGACGAGGCACUACGGUGCUGAAGCAACAAAUGCCCUGCUUCCAGGAAAAGCCUCUAAGCAUCAGGUAACAUCAAAUCGUACCCCAAACCGACACAGGUGGUCAGGUAGAGAAUACCAAGGCGCUUGAGAGAACUCGGGUGAAGGAACUAGGCAAAAUGGUGCCGUAACUUCGGGAGAAGGCACGCUGACACGUAGGUGAAGUGAUUUACUCAUGGAGCUGAAGUCAGUCGAAGAUACCAGCUGGCUGCAACUGUUUAUUAAAAACACAGCACUGUGCAAACACGAAAGUGGACGUAUACGGUGUGACGCCUGCCCGGUGCCGGAAGGUUAAUUGAUGGGGUCAGCGCAAGCGAAGCUCCUGAUCGAAGCCCCGGUAAACGGCGGCCGUAACUAUAACGGUCCUAAGGUAGCGAAAUUCCUUGUCGGGUAAGUUCCGACCUGCACGAAUGGCGUAAUGAUGGCCAGGCUGUCUCCACCCGAGACUCAGUGAAAUUGAACUCGCUGUGAAGAUGCAGUGUACCCGCGGCAAGACGGAAAGACCCCGUGAACCUUUACUAUAGCUUGACACUGAACAUUGAGCCUUGAUGUGUAGGAUAGGUGGGAGGCUUUGAAGUGUGGACGCCAGUCUGCAUGGAGCCGACCUUGAAAUACCACCCUUUAAUGUUUGAUGUUCUAACGUGGACCCGUGAUCCGGGUUGCGGACAGUGUCUGGUGGGUAGUUUGACUGGGGCGGUCUCCUCCUAAAGAGUAACGGAGGAGCACGAAGGUUGGCUAAUCCUGGUCGGACAUCAGGAGGUUAGUGCAAUGGCAUAAGCCAGCUUGACUGCGAGCGUGACGGCGCGAGCAGGUGCGAAAGCAGGUCAUAGUGAUCCGGUGGUUCUGAAUGGAAGGGCCAUCGCUCAACGGAUAAAAGGUACUCCGGGGAUAACAGGCUGAUACCGCCCAAGAGUUCAUAUCGACGGCGGUGUUUGGCACCUCGAUGUCGGCUCAUCACAUCCUGGGGCUGAAGUAGGUCCCAAGGGUAUGGCUGUUCGCCAUUUAAAGUGGUACGCGAGCUGGGUUUAGAACGUCGUGAGACAGUUCGGUCCCUAUCUGCCGUGGGCGCUGGAGAACUGAGGGGGGCUGCUCCUAGUACGAGAGGACCGGAGUGGACGCAUCACUGGUGUUCGGGUUGUCAUGCCAAUGGCACUGCCCGGUAGCUAAAUGCGGAAGAGAUAAGUGCUGAAAGCAUCUAAGCACGAAACUUGCCCCGAGAUGAGUUCUCCCUGAGACUUUAGGUCUCCUGAAGGAACGUUGAAGACGACGACGUUGAUAGGCCGGGUGUGUAAGCGCAGCGAUGCGUUGAGCUAACCGGUACUAAUGAACCGUGAGGCUUAACCUUACA
rnacentral:rRNA from 1 species